AAAGAAACCAACCGGGAUUGCCCUAGUAACGGCGAGUGAAGCGGCAAGAGCUCAAAUUUGAAAGCUGGCCCCCUCGGGGUCCGCAUUGUAAUUUGCAGAGGAUGCUUCGGGAACGGCCCCCAUCUAAGUGCCCUGGAACGGGCCGUCAUAGAGGGUGAGAAUCCCGUCUGGGAUGGGGUGGCCGCGCCCGUGUGAAGCUCCUUCGACGAGUCGAGUUGUUUGGGAAUGCAGCUCUAAUUGGGUGGUAAAUUUCAUCUAAAGCUAAAUAUUGGCCGGAGACCGAUAGCGCACAAGUAGAGUGAUCGAAAGAUGAAAAGCACUUUGAAAAGAGAGUUAAACAGCACGUGAAAUUGUUGAAAGGGAAGCGCUUGCGACCAGACUCGCCCGCGGGGUUCAGCCGGCACUCGUGCCGGUGUACUUCCCCGCGGGCGGGCCAGCGUCGGUUUGGGCGGCCGGUCAAAGGCCUCUGGAAGGUAACGCCUCUCGGGGCGUCUUAUAGCCAGGGGUGCCAUGCGGCCUGCCCGGACCGAGGAACGCGCUUCGG
rnacentral:rRNA from 1 species